AGUGUACUGAAUAAAGUCCAAGUUCAGGUCAGCGAACAAGAGACACUGAAAAAUGGCGAUGGAGAUGAAGAUGAAGAUGAAGAUGAAGAUGAAGGAAGCUUUGCCAUACAUAGGAAUGGUUUCAACACAAUUUGCACAAGUCGGUCUAAUGAUUGUAGGCAAAAAAGCUAUGUCAACUGGAAUGACCAACUUCACUUUCGUCUUCUACUCCAAUGCUCUUGCCUCUCUUAUUCUCCUCCCUUCUUUCUUCUUCUAUAGGUCAAUUCGUUCUCCACUCAAUUUCUCACUUAUAUGUGGAUUUUUCUUGCUAGGAGUUCUUGGUUGUUCAGCUCAGCUAACAGGGUAUGCUGGGAUUAAUUAUACUUCUGCUUCAUUUGCCUCAGCUAUGCUCAAUCUCAUCCCAGGUUUUACUUUCAUACUUGCCGUCAUUUUCAGGAUGGAGAAAUUAGAUUGCCGAAGUACAAGUACCCUGAUUAAAUCUGUUGGAACCGUCGUCUCAAUUGCCGGAGCCUUCACCGCCACUCUUUACAAGGGACCACAAAUUUUGUUGACUUCCUCAUCUUUGAAGCCUCAAAAUUAUCUUCAUUUUCAGGAAACUGACUGGGUGAUUGGAGGACUAUAUCUUGUAGUGGAUUGCAUAGCGGUUUCAGCAUAUCUAAUUGUACAGGCUUCCGUCCUUAAAAGUUAUCCAGUUGAGCUGAUUGUGGUCUUCUUUUACUGCUUCUUUUCCUCCAUUCUAUCAGCAAUAGUCUCUCUAUUUAUGGACAUGGACUUAAAUGCUUGGAUGCUACAACCUGGUACGAGAUUGUUCGCUGUUCUAUACUCAGGAGUUUUUGGCUCUGCAUUUCAAGUCAGUGUAAUGUUUUGGUGCGUUCGUAGAAGGGGACCUCUCUUUGUUGCUAUGUUCCAUCCUCUGGGGAUUGUAAUUGCUGCUGCAUUGGGUAUCAUCUUCUUAGGAGAUAUUUUCUACCUUGGAAGCUUGGUGGGGUCAAUUGUAAUUGUCGUUGGCUUCUAUGCUGUGAUGUGGGGAAAAACACAAGAAAAGAAGGUAGAUGAAGACCAUCUGUCAAGAAAUAUCAAUUCAAAGGCCCCGCUCUUGCAAAUAAAGGACGCAGAGACAGAAGUUUAAGCACAAGAUAAAAGCAUAUAUUAUUGGAGGAGGCACUUUAGAUGGCUGUAUCCUCUCUUUCAUGUCAAUGAAAAAUGGAAGAAGUCAAAGCAAGUUGACAGGGCAUAUUGUGGAAGUUGCAGACAUGUAAGCCACAACCAGAUGGAAGUCCUCCUUUACUGAAGUUUGUAUAAAAUUGUUGGAACAUUCAUACAAAAUGCUCGCUGUUGCUGUAAGUGCAGAGUAGAUAAACCUAUAAAAUGCAUUGUUCCCCGUAAUGACUUGGUGUAUCACUCUUUUAUCAGUGUAUAUAAUACAUUGUUAUUCUGGUCAGCAUUGAUAUUCUAUUCAAAGGAUGGUGUUAUUUGCUA